rnacentral:snRNA from 1 species
AUACUUACCUGGCUGGGAGAGACCAUGAUCACGAAAGUGUUUUUCCCAGGAAGAGGCUUAUCCCUUGCACCUUGAUGUGCUGACCCCUAUGAUUUCAACCUGUAUCACCUGUAUCACCUGUCGUCCCAUUGCUGAUCGUUUGCUCGAGCAGGC